GGGCGUGUAGCUCAGCUGGUUAGAGCGCAACGUUCACAUCGUUGAAGUCGUAGGUUCGAGUCCUAUCACGCCCACCA
rnacentral:tRNA from 1 species